AGCAACAGAAUACGAGCAGUAACACUAAGUUCUUGCUAUUUAAACUUGUUUUAGAUUGGCUCAUGAAAGUUGGGAAACUGUGCAAUCCUUUCACAUGGUGCGCUAAUGGAAAGGUCAAAGACCUUUGGAACAAGAAAAUAAUAUGAAAGGAAAAAAAAAACACCCUCUUUUUGGGCUUGAGAAACUGCUUCUGAAUACAGGAAUUGCUCGUUCAUAAUUUUUGUGGUACAGUUCUACCAAGCACUGUGCUGCAAGAAGGAAAAAAGGCUGAAAGGAUUACAGACUAAAACUCAAACUAUGUAAAUCAUUGAUCUGAGUGUUAUAAUUCCUUGCUGAUGUGAGUAAGGGCAGCAUCUUUGUAACAGCUGAUGAUGAAAUUCAUUGCCAAAGAUUGAGACCACAGAAAUAUGUGGGCUAGAUGUUCAACCUCCCAAGCCACCGGCCGUGUGUCCAGUUUGGGACUGCGUCACUAUGCUCUGCAGCAGUGGGAAGAAACUAAUUUGUCAGCAAGAGAUUCACAAAAGCUUUCAACACAGUCGUAUGUGUCUCCAGUAUGCAGCAGUUUGCAAGAGCCCAGCUCCACUGUGAGAAAAAUCAAGGUAUGGUAUCUAUCUUACCUCACACCUCCUGGUGGAAAAGGAUCUACCAGCCACAUGUACUGUGGGCGUCAGACUGACCACAGCGCUGUCAUUAGUUGAGAUCUAUCAAAGCAGUGUUUUGGGAAUGGCCAUAAAGCUGCAUGACCUCAUUAAACUUCUUCCUGACACACAUCAGAAAAGAGUGUUUCUUCCUUACCAUAGAGGGAAAAGGAAAACAGAACAGUUUAUGCCUGGGAGAACUAUACUUAUAUCACAAUAGUUUUUUAAGUAGUAGCAUUUUAGUUUAUAUAGCAAAAUUCACCAUGUCAGAACUCAAGACUGCUAUUAUGCAAUGCCAAAUUCC
rnacentral:lncRNA from 1 species